AUUGAACGCUGGCGGCAGGCCUAACACAUGAAAGUAGAACGAGUGGCGGACGGGUACGUAAUGUCUGGGAAACUGCCUGCUGGAGGGGGAUAACUACUGGAAACGGUAGCUAAUACCGCAUACCAUCAGAUGUGCCCAGAUGGGAUUAGCUAGUAGGUGGGGUAACGGCUCACCUAGGCGACGAUCCCUCACUGGUCUGAGAGGAUGACCAGCCACACUGGAACUGAGACACGGUCCAGACUCAGACGGGAGGCAGCAGUGGGGAACAUUGCACAAUGGGCGCAAGCCUGAUGCAGCCAUGCCGCGUGUGUGAAGAAGGCCUUCGGGUUGUAAAGCACUUUCAGCGGGGAGGCGUUACCCGCAGAAGAAGCACCGGCUAACUCCGUGCCAGCAGCCGCGGUAAUUC
rnacentral:rRNA from 1 species